rnacentral:rRNA from 1 species
CUAACAGAUAUCAUUGUUAGUAAAGCCUGCUCAAGAAUAAAUAACGAGCGCAGAACCCUGUGCUAAGGUAGCAUAAUAACUUGCCUCCUAAUUAGAGGCUAGCAUGAAAGGUAUCACAUAUUGAUAACUUUAUUAAUUUAACACUUUGAAAUUAACUUUUUAGUAAAAAGGCUAAAAUUUUACAAGAGGACGACAAGACCCUGACAAGCUUUACAUUAUAGUUAUGCUGGGGGGGCAAAAAAACUCUAUCUUUUUUAUUCUAAAAACAGAAAAAUUCUAUUCUUAUACAAGUUACUGCAGGGAUAACAGCAUAAUUUUUUCUUAGAGACCUUAUCAAAGAAAAAGAUUGUGACCUCGAUGUUGAAUUAAGUAUCUAUAAAGAGCAAAAUCUUUAUAAGUAAGUCUGUUCGACUUUUAAUAACUUACAUGAUUUGAGUUCAGACCGGCGCAAGCCAGGUCGGUUUCUAUCCCUUCUAUAAAAUUCUCAGUACGAAAGGACCAUAAUUUUCAUUAUUAAUGCUA